GCCCGGGUGGUGGAAUGGCAGACACGUCGGUCUCAAAAACCGAUACCCUUGGUGUGUGGGUUCGAAUCCCACCCCGGGCACCA
rnacentral:tRNA from 1 species